rnacentral:lncRNA from 1 species
AUUAUAUAUCUUCACGUUAAUAUAUACAUAUCAAAAUAAUCAUAUAUGGUUUUAUCAGAAAAAAACAACAACUAUAUGGAAUGGUAAUAAAAUUAAAACAUAAGAAACAAGGGGAUGUAAAAAAAAAAAAAACUAAAAACUACAAUGCGAUACAGUUGUAGGUUAAUUAGACGGAUAAAAUUCGUCCAAUCAAAUAAUAACAUACGUAAAUAUAAUAUAUAAAGAAUUGUGUGCUGUGAAUAUAAUUAUUAGAAGUUCC